GACAGUGAUGGUUCCACAAGUUUUAGUAUCCCUCUGAUCCUCACCAAGUGGCCAUCAUUCUUCUCACUGCUGACGGCAUCCUGGCUGAAGUCCACUUACUUGACAUGGAUGUGGAAUCAAAUUUGGAAUCUUGUAAUUGGAUCUGGAAUGUGACUGACCAGGACCUCCUACAUUGGACUUCUCCAGACCUUUGCCAAGUGUUUGGAUUUAGAAGUUUUACCAAAAACAUUUUGUGGCAAGCAGUGAGCUGUAGGAUUUAAAACACA